UGGCAACUGGUGUAGUGGUUUGAGCACUGGACUAGGACUCUGGAGACCAGGGUUUGAAUCCUGGCUUGCUCA